UGGAUUCUUCCUUCUCAGGCGACAACACCUCAAGUGCACUACGGAUUCUCCAGCUAAUUAUGAAGUUCUUUCUUUUGAUAGCUUCUUUGAAGUGUUCCACAUUUUUACCAUCAUGGUUAGUAGAUGGUAACAUAAUCUCUACAAAGAUCAAGAGUGCAUCUAGCAACCAUGAUCUUGAAAGAAUUAAUUGGAAA